GAUACACUGAGGGGGGUCAGCACACUAUUUUCACACAUAUAAUGAAUGUAUUUUGAUGACAUCCAUCCGUUCUCCUCUCCCUUGUCCCCUCUCAUCCCCCUGUACACUCAUGCUUGUGUGUAUAUGGGGACGGGAGCCGAGCCAGUGAAUGUCGUUAGCACUGCUUACAGGAGCUUUGUUUUUUGUUGUUUUUGUUUUUUAACCACUUUUCUCUUUCUGAUCUUCUUGCGUUUGCUUUUGAAGACUUGAUGCUGUUUAUGUCUCUCUCACUCUGGACAGGGUCUCACAUAGCCCAGGGUGGCCUCAAACUUGUUAUAUAGAUGAGGAUAACCUUGAGUUCUCAUUUUCCUUCCUAUACCUCCAAAAAAAUGAGAUUAUAGAUGUGUACCACAAUAUCCAUCUGUCCUUCCCUCCCUCCCUCCCUCCCUCCCUC
rnacentral:lncRNA from 1 species